rnacentral:rRNA from 1 species
GUGGGUAGUUUGACUGGGGCGGUCUCCUCCCAAAGCGUAACGGAGGAGCACGAAGGUUAGCUAAUCCUGGUCGGACAUCAGGAGGUUAGUGCAAUGGCAUAAGCUAGCUUGACUGCGAGCGUGACGGCGCGAGCAGGUGCGAAAGCAGGUCAUAGUGAUCCGGUGGUUCUGAAUGGAAGGGCCAUCGCUCAACGGAUAAAAGGUACUCCGGGGAUAACAGGCUGAUACCGCCCAAGAGUUCAUAUCGACGGCGGUGUUUGGCACCUCGAUGUCGGCUCAUCACAUCCUGGGGCUGAAGUAGGUCCCAAGGGUAUGGCUGUUCGCCAUUUAAAGUGGUACGCGAGCUGGGUUUAGAACGUCGUGAGACAGUUCGGUCCCUAUCUGCCGUGGGCGCUGGAGAAUUGAGGGGGGCUGCUCCUAGUACGAGAGGACCGGAGUGGACGCAUCACUGGUGUUCGGGUUGUCAUGCCAAUGGCACUGCCCGGUAGCUAAAUGCGGAAGAGAUAAGUGCUGAAAGCAUCUAAGCACGAAACUUGCCCCGAGAUGAGUUCUCCCUGAGACUUUAAGUCUCCUGAAGGAACGUUAAAGACGAUGACGUUGAUAGGCCGGGUGUGUAAGCGCAGCGAUGC